rnacentral:rRNA from 1 species
GACAGAGGGUGCAAACGUUGUUCGGAAUUACUGGGCGUAAAGCGCGUGUAGGCGGCUCGGCAAGUCGGGUGUGAAAGCCCUGGGCUUAACCUAGGAAGUGCACUCGAAACUGCCAAGCUUGAGUUCUGGAGAGGAAGGCGGAAUUCUCGGUGUAGAGGUGAAAUUCGUAGAUAUCGAGAGGAACACCGGUGGCGAAGGCGGCCUUCUGGACAGCAACUGACGCUGAGACGCGAAAGCCAGGGGAGCAAACGGGG